AUGGUAGACAAAACCCACUACACCAAUGGCUCCGAAUUAACUUACAAGGAGAAAAAUCAUCUGGUCGGAUUUUGUACUGACAUUGAGAAUUACAGUAUCUACAAUCAAACUCCUCAACAUUAUGGUCAAUACAUGUCACUAGUGCAUGUGUUCAACUACGGUAACUACCUUGGAGAUACCCUGAUAAUCCCAGAGAAUUGUGUGCCUCAUUUGAUGUAUCAGAAAGGUAGCCUUAAUGUUUUGAACAUACAGCCAGGUCAUCCUACGAAUCUCAAUUUUCCAUACCAGAUUCCUAAAAGAAAUGGAGACAUGCAAGUCAAAGGAUGGAAAAAAUGUAUGGACAAUCGUAAGGAGGUUCUUGGAAGCAAAAGAAAGCGAUGCGUAAGAAUUGGAGACAUGAUGAUCUCCAUUCUUCAUAAUGGAGAGUCAGGGUCUAUUUUGUUUUAUGCUAUUUUACCAUGA
rnacentral:rRNA from 1 species